AUCUGAUGAGGUUAUCCCACUGCUGGUGCUGCCGUUCAAGUUACUCCCAGAACCCAACAUUAAGCUGUAACCUUAAUAAAGCUUAGAACACAAGUAUCUCUUUAUUUUGUCCCAAUAUCAAAUUGAGUUUACAAAUUCCUGAUCAUAUGAUAAUAUUGUAUAAAGAAGAUCAUCAUACAAAUUACUUAAGAAAGCUACUAAUUGAAGCAUGUCGAGAGAAAUGCAGUAGUUUCAGUUAUGUAACAAAAGCCAUGCUUCUCAGUUUCUCAAUCUUCUAUAAUCUGCUUAACAUAAGAUUAAUUGUAGAAUCUAAUCUUCUCCACUUUUUUUCCCCUACCAAGGAUGACACUGCCGCACAUUACUAAUUCCGCUAAUUUCAAAUGCCCAAUUCUAC